AUUGAACGCUGGCGGCAUGCUUUACACAUGCAAGUCGAACGGCAGCACGGCCUUCGUUCUGGUGGCAAGUGGCGAAUGGGUGAGUAAUACAUCGGAACGUACCCAGUAAUUGGGGAUAACUAGCCGAAAGGAUAGCUAAUACCGCCUACGCCCUACGGGGCAAAGAGGGGGAGCGCAAGACAUCUUGUCAUUGGAGCGGCCGAUGGCUGAUUAGCUAGAUGGUAGGGUAAAGGCAUACCAAUGCAUCGAUCAGUAGCGGGUCUUAGAGGACGGUCCGCCACACUGGAACUGAGACACGGUCCAGACUCCUACGGGAGGCAGCAGUGGGUAAUCCUGGACAAUGGGCGCAAGCCUGAUCCAGCAAUGCCGCGUGCGUGAAGAAGGCCUUCGGGUUGUAAAGCGCUUUUGUCAGGGAGCAAAUCCUUGUGGCUAAUACCCAACGGGGAUGAGAGUACCUGAAGAAUAAGGACCGGCUAACUACGUGCCAGCCGCCGCAGUAAUAC
rnacentral:rRNA from 1 species